rnacentral:rRNA from 1 species
AUGGCCUAACGGCUGAACCAGCAAUUUGAAAGAAUGAAUAGUGGUUUACCCACAUAAAGUUCUAGAUAGAUAAUAGAUGAUGACUAAUUUCUAUUUACCAGUCUUGACUAAAUCACGUGCCAGCAGUCGCGGUAAUACGGGGAAGACUAGUGUUAUUCAUUUUUAAUAGGUUUAAAGGGUACCUAGACGGGUUUUACACACUUUAUCUUAUUUUGAAAUAAAUAAGGCAUAUAGCAUAUUAAUGCGAAUAUAUGUGAGUAAGGAAACCUAGAGUUUUAUGUGAGAGGGAUAUUAGUACUAGUUGAGUAGAGAUGAAAUUCUUUAAUACAAUUAAGCACUGGUAAAGGCGAAGGCAGUCCUUUGUGUGAAAACUGACGUUGAGGGACGAAGGCUUGGGUAACAAACAGGAUUAGAUACCCUAAUAGUCCUUGCAGAAAAAUAUGAAUGCCAUAGAUUAAACAAACAUGUGAUUUCUAUAAAUUAAAAUGUAAGCAUUCCACCUCAAGAGUAAUACGGCAACGUAUAAACUGAAAUCAUUAGACCGUUUCUGAAACCAGUAGUGAAGUAUGUUGUUUAAUUCGAUGAUCCACGAAAAACCUUACCACAACUUGAAUAUUUUAGCUGUAGGCUAUUUUACAGGUGUUGCACGGCUGUCUUUAGUUAAUGUCGUGAGAUGCAGGUUCGCUCCAAAUAAUUAACGUAAACCCUUGUCGUGUUUGUUUACACGAUAGUUCCCCGGCAUAUCGGAUAAGUUAACAGGGAUCAAGGCAAGUACUCGCGGCCCU